CACCCUAAACACACACACAGGUCCUCAUUACUGUACAAUACACCCUAAACACACACACAGGUCCUCAUUACUGUACAAUACACCCUAAACACACACACAGGUCCUCAUUACUGUACAAUACACCCUAAACACACACACAGGUCCUCAUUACUGUACAAUACACCCUAAACACACACACAGGUCCUCAUUACUGUACAAUACACCCUAAACACACACACAGGUCCUCAUUACUGUACAAUACACCCUAAACACACACACA